UACGUAGGGGGCAAGCGUUGUCCGGAAUCAUUGGGCGUAAAGCGCACGUAGGCGGCUCUGUAAGUCGGAUGUGAAAUCCCUCGGCUUAACCAAGGAAGUGCAUCCGAAACUGCAAGGCUUGAGUACUUAAGAGGAUCGCGGAAUUCCCGGUGUAGAGGUGAAAUUCGUAGAUAUUCGCAAGAACACCAGUGGCGAAGGCGGCCAACUGGACCAACACUGACGCUGAGGCGCGAAAGCGUGGGGAGCAAACAGG
rnacentral:rRNA from 1 species